UAUUCUCUAAAACCUAACUCUUCUUUACUAUUACUACGCAUCAAAAGAAAAGAAAUAAAAACCUUUUUUUCAAAAUUCAUCACCUGAAUUUUGACUACUAUCGUAAUCAUAUGUACUAUUUACCGAUUCAUUUGGUUUUUUUUUAUCAACUUUAGUUUUCAUCUUGCAAACUAAAAACUAGUUUUUAUGCUAUUGAACUUUUACCGGUUUCUUAACUUUGAAAAAAUUAUGUAUGUUCAAUAUUUUUUUCCUUCAAAUUCUAACCGAUUGAUGUUAUAUUGGAGAUUUGAAGUUCGAAUAUAAUAUUACUCUUUUGAUUAUAAAUUGAAAAAUAUCAAGAAAAAAUUUCUAACCCAAUCAAAAAAAAUCUAACAGAAAAUAAAAGAGAAUACGUAAAGAAAGUUGUGAAAUAGUAAAUAUAUAAUAAUUAUAUUAAAUAACAUAUUAUUAUUAGUUUUAGAUAUUGAGGGUAUUUUAGGCAGUUUGGGAUGUGUAUUUAGUUAAUAUUGAAAUGAAAAACUAUAUGGAUAGUGUGUAUUAAGUAAGAGAUGUGUAUUAAGAGAUUAGGGGUGUGUAUUUAAAAUUACUCUUUAGACUAACACCAUGUGCAAAAUGAUAUGUGUAUGGGCCCCACAUUUAUAUUGGUUCGGACUAAUCCGUGGGUUGAGGAUUACCUCAUGCAUUGGUCGGGUUAGGUGGGAUCCACCAUUACCAGGACAAGCAUUUUAGCCGACGAAAAAGUUUCGUCGGCCUGUUAGCUUAAUUCGUCGGCUAAUCUCUUAGCCGACUAGCCGACGAGCCUUCGUCGGCUAUGGUUUCGUCGGGAAAGGGUCGUCGGCGAUGACUUUAGCCGACGAAACUAUAGGACGUCGUCGGCUAUUGUCCCAGAAUUUAGCCGACGAAUCUAGAAGACAUCGUCGGCUAUUGUCCCAGACUUUAGCCGACGAAUAUCUUAAAUGUUUCGUCUACCAUAGUCUGAGACUUUAGCCGACUAAACAUUUAAGAUAUUCGUCGGCUAAAGUAUGUAAUAAAAAAAUUAUUUUUUGGGAACAAAUAUUAAUUUAUUUUUAUUAAUUAUUUAUUUUCGAUGGUUUCUUCAUUUUAUUUUUAUUUCGGUUUUUGUUGUUCUUUCCCCAAAUCCACCAAACGUCGUUGCCACCAAAACCACCGCACGCCGCCACCACCAAAACCAAAGCUCACCCCACAUACCAUCGAUCACCAACAAAAUAACACCGAUUACCGCCACCAAAAUCCCAGAUAUGACCCGACCCAAAUCGGAAUUUAAUUCAACCCAAACCUCCACCAUCAUUGUCGUCGACUAACCACUACCAACACCCACCGCAAGUACCACAAACACCAACAACAACGAAUACAACACCACUACCAACAACAACAACAACAACAAAUUCUAUAGCUUUUUGGCAACUCGAAUGAGCAAAUAGAAGAAGAUAUGGACCUAGAUCAAUCAAGAGAGGCGGAAAUGGGGGAGAGGAAGAGGUGGUGAGUCGGGGAGUGGAGGAACCAGAUCGAUCUAAGGAGUUGGAAGAGAGAGGAGAGGGAGAGGAAAGAGAGAGGGAGUGGGUUUGUUUCGGUGGGGAAGAGAAAGAAAAAGUUAUUGGGUGAAGUUCUUGGUGAGAGAAAGAAGAAGAUAAGAUGUUUGAGGAAGAGAUGAGUAGGUUAAAGAGAGAGAGAAAGAAGAAGAAGAUAAGAUUUUGAAAUUUUCCGAAAUUUUUGGCGGAAACAAUUUAUCCUCAAAAGUCAAAACCAGGAUUUAGCCGACGAAAUUUUUAUUUCGUCGGCUAAACCUAUGAAAUUCGUUAGCUAAAUUUGUAAAUCUCGUCGGCUAAAGUAUUUUUUUACUUAAUAUUUUUUAUUUUUUAUUUUAUUUUAUUAACUAUAGCCGACGAAUUCUAAAUAAUAUCGUCGGCUAAAGUACUUUUUUAUUUAAUGUUUUCAAUUUAUUUGUUUUAUUUUAUUUUAUUAACUAUAGCCGACGAAUUCUAAAUAAUAUCGUCGGUCAAAGUAUUUUUUAUUUAAUAUUUUUAAUUUAUUUUUUUAUUUUAUUUUAUUAACUAUAGCCGACGACAUUUUAAAUAAUGUCAUCGGCUAUAAUACUUUUUAUACAUUCGGCACAUUGUGAUUGUGAUGAUCAAACUUGAGAAACAAAAAUCCGGCCGUCAGAUCUGACUAUCAUGAUAAAAUACAUGUAUGGGAAAAAAUUCAACUUGAUCCGACAAGGUUAAGGGCUCGAUCCGGACGGUUAAUCCCGUAAAUCAAACCCCUAAAUGCACGGAAAAGCUCAUUGGACCAUCUAAAUUACGUAUUUUGGCCGGACCUUCAACUGAAAAUAGUUUCAAAUCGAUGAGACGCAACAAGUCGUAUAAAAAUUUUACGGAAAAUAACCACCAAAGAUAGGGCUACCCAUAGGGAGAAAGAAUGGAAAAUUAUAUUGACCGUAACUAUCGGCACCGAGACUUUACCGGAAUACCGUGAUUUUUCAACCGUAGACGUAUUUCACCAUUCUGGUCAUAUUUUAUUUCACGAAUUUUUUGCGUUUGAAGGUUCUACGUAUAGUUUGUUUUUGAAACGGAACAUUUACUUAACACUGGUAAACAAGUUAUACAACAUUAGUAGGCAUGUUGUGAUUGUGAUGAUCAAACUUGAGAAACGAAAAUCCGCUAGAUCUGACCAUCAUGAUAAAAUACAUGUAUGGGAAAAAAUUCAACUUGAUCCGACAAGGUUAAGGGCUCGAUCCGGACAGUCAAACCCCUAAACGCACGGAAAAGGUCAUUGGACCGUCUAAAUUACAUAUUUUGGCCGGACCUUCAACUGAAAAUAGUUUCAAAUCGAUGAGAUGCAACAAGUCGUAUAAAAAUUUUACGGAAAAUAACCACCGAAGAUAGGGCUACCCAUAGGGAGAAAGAAUGGAAAUAUAAGGCACUUUAGCCGACGAAAUUUUAAUUUCGUCGGCUAAAGUUCACAGACUAUAGCCGACGAAAAAAUUCUUUAGCCAACGAAAUUUUAAUUUCAUCGGCUAAAGUUGACCAUAGCCGACGAAAAUUUAAAUUAGCCAACGAAGGAAAAUUUUGUCGGCUAACGUGGACUUUAGCCGACGAAAAAAUAGUUCGUCAGCCUGGUUUUUUUAUUUUCGUCGGCUAAAGCCUUUCUUCUGGUAGUGCACAUGAGACCCACGUUUAACCCGGACUAAUUCCUCACUAGUGGAUAAUGUUUUUCGAUCCAACCUUCAGUCCAACCCCCAAAUUGCACCAUCGCUGCAUUUGCACUAACAAGUCCAUACUAAACGGAUCAGUAUUUAGGUCAAUUCGCUCCAAAUCCAGUCAAUUUAAAGGUCUAAUUGGGACCCGUCCCAUCCAUCCUUUUAGAUUGAUCUAUUGGUGAUGCAUGUAACACGAUAAUGAAUGAAUUCAUGCCUUGUGGAUCUCAUAUAUCCAUAACUUUAGGAAUCUUUGUGUAGAUGUGUGAGGGUUCUUUUUGAUUGAAAGGUAACUAGGCCAAAAUUAACCCAAAUAUUUGGAUUACUGAGUUAAUCUUGUGCGUGAUUCAAAGACGAAAGAAGCUUGUAGCGUGAGCCGACAUGGGAGCUAAAGGCACACCGCAGUGAUGAGAAUUGACUGAGUUUUAGGGUUAGAUUUCUAGGAAUGAUCUAGGUUUCAAGGAUGGGGAUUGAAGGAUGGUUAGAAAGGGGGUUUUGGCUUGGAGGCUUGAAAGGCAUGAAAGCUUGAGUGUUUGGGGAUUUUUCUGGGUUGGUUGUUUCAUGGCUUUGCAGCUCCCAGACCUCUAUUCUUAUAGAGUCCAAUUGGUGGGUUUUGCGAUAGGUCGCGAUGCCUAAUCCACUGUGUAAAGGGAUUGUUCUUCUCAUGCACAUGAUCUUAGCCUCAAAAGUUGACAGAGAGAGGUUGAUUUUGAGAGAUGGGAGAGAUAACUCACUGCAGGGGUGCUGCGAGGGCGGCUGCAGAGACCGAAAUCCAGGAACGAGGCAGACUAAGUAGCUUGAAUCCCACGAUUUCGUUAUCCAAGGAUGAAAGAGCUGCUUUGGAACCAGUCACUAACCUUCUUCUUCCUCCGGUUGGGAACGAAUGGGAUCUUUUUAUUGUGCAAAGUUUGUCGUCGUACUGCUGCGGGGAAGAGAUAAAGUGUGGUAUCUGGUUCAACAAUGAGAAUAUAGAAAGGGAUUGGGCUUUUUCCUAAAAGAAGAGAGUUUGGGCUUUUCUAAAAGAAAAAAGGGUGUUGGGUUUUGGAUUCAAAGAUAUUUUGGGUUUAAAAGAUGAGCAGUCCAAUUCUCACAUUCUUCACCGAUUCGUCGCCGACUUAAGUCGUCGGGUUUGAGUUUCGGGCCCAAGACCGAAACUUCUUAACAACAUUAAAUCGGCGGACGAGCGUUAUGUGCCUCCGUAACCAUCCACACCAUACCCACUUCUACAAGCCCCAAUGAUGCGUGUAUGCGGCUUGGGCCCACAUGAAUGCAUGAGUAUGUUCGCUUAGGUUAAAUCUAACCAAAGAUUGCAUGAAAUUAUCGCGUAAUAAAGUAUUAAUUGAUCGCAUGAUUUUUCGGGUAUCAACAAGAUGAACCUUUCUUGUCUUGGUUGGGAAAGAAUAUAAAAAUUGAGUACUUUGCUUCCAUUGUGGUUUUGGUAUUUGAACCAAACCGUGCUAUAUAAGUACAUACUUUCCACUUCUAAGUUCUAAUCAUUUGGAUUCGUGCAC
rnacentral:lncRNA from 1 species